UGGAUACACGCACCAAGAAAUGACAGCCCCCAACUUCAUCCCCUACUGGAAGGACAACCUUGAAUCCAGGUUCACGGAGGCACUGAUCCUAAUGGGACGUUGCCCUUGAGAGCAAAGUGUUCUUAUUUUAGAGAAGAGCAGCAUGGUGGCCAAAAAAGUGGAUCCACAUUCUCUUUCCCUCGGAUCUCUUCACCCAGGUGAGGGCACUGACAAAGAAAUGGAAAGACUUGCCAUAAGUGUAUAGAUCCUAAGCGGAAGGUG